rnacentral:rRNA from 1 species
UACGUAGGGACCAAGCGUUGUCCGGAAUCAUUGGGCGUAAAGAGCGUGUAGGCGGCUAGGUAGGUCCGUUGUGAAAACUCGAGGCUCAACCUCGAGACGUCGAUGGAAACCAUCUAGCUAGAGUCCGGAAGAGGAGAGUGGAAUUCCUGGUGUAGCGGUGAAAUGCGCAGAUAUCAGGAAGAACACCCGUGGCGAAGGCGGCUCUCUGGUACGUGACUGACGCUGAGACGCGAAAGCGUGGGAGCGAACAGG